rnacentral:rRNA from 1 species
GUUAGGAAUAUUGGACAAUGGGCGCAAGCCUGAUCCAGCCAUGCCGCGUGAGUGAUGAAGGCCUUCGGGUUGUAAUGCUCUUUAGUCCACGAAUAUAAUGACUGUAGUGGAAGAAUAAGCCCCGGCUAACUUCGUGCCAGCAGCCGCGGUAAUACGAAGGGGGCGAGCGUUAUUCGGAAUCACUGGGCGUAAAGCGUGCGUAGGCUGUUUUGUAAGUCAGAAGUGAAAGCCCAGGGCUUAACCCUGGAAUUGCUUUUGAAACUACAAGACUCGAAUUCGGGAGAGGAUAGCGGAAUUGUCAGUGUAGCAGUGAAAUGCGUAGAUAUUGACAGGAACACCAGUGGCGCAAGCGGCUAUCUGGACCGAUAUUGACGCUGAGGCACGAAAGCGUGGGGAGCAAACAGGAUUAGAUACCCGAGUAGUCC